UGCAAAAUUCACAGCCAUUACUUUUUCUGUAUUUAUUAAUGACAGUUCAGCUGAAAAUCGUUGAGGAACAAAGAUUGCUGCCUUAAUGAAGAAUGGGCCGUCUAAAAACACGGAAAAAAAAAUUAAAACGUAAAUAAUAUGUUGUAAGACAUUAUUUCAGGAGUAAGGUUCGGUUCUAAAUGUUCUAAAAUUUAAUAAGCAUGUAUGCGGGCAAAUAUGUGUGUGUGAAUAAACAGACUAAGUGCAGGGUUUCCCCUAUUUCAGUCUCUUGGCUUGGCUUUCAGACUGUGCCCAGGGCCAUGCGGGCACCGUACGGGCAACCUGCGGGCUCCGCUCCUUCACACGGGCGCGCACACGGGAGCGCGACCCAGGGAAACGCCCAGAAUCUCUACCCAUCAUCACUAUUCACUGGGUCUUAUAGCGCGUCUAUUUGGGAACCGAGUUCAUUUUAAGAAUCAUAAAGUGGGGAAAGUUUGUUUUAAAAAUGCGUUGUCAACGGCGUACGUAACAGGGUAAGAAGAUAAUCAUGCUGCGACUUAUAUACUUCUGAACUGAACAACUGGAGACCGCUAUUAUUAUCAAGAUGUAGCGCCAGCAGGUCUGCGGCUCCUUAUGCCGCCCGUGAACCCUACAGACUCACCCGUGAGAAGAAGCGCAGAUCAAAUGCGGCAUGUGUCAAGGUGUGUGUGUCUGUUCGUCCCCACCCCCAAACUGCUCUGCCAGUGUACUACGAGGGGAACAUGCAAGAAAUGGAUAAUUUAUUGCGAGCAACUAGGAGAAAGAGCCCACACACCCUGAGCCGGCCCUGCAUCCUCAGACAUCGCCACUGUCGCCAGUUCUCUUUACACUCUUCAGUGUUUGCUCCUCUUGUCUUCACACCGGGUAUGGCCAACCGGCAUCUGCAGCACGGCAAGGGAUCGCCUAAUCCCCGACAAUGCCUUUGUUUUUUGUUUACAUUCUAAUAAAUAUUAUUAAGUAUUUCAAUCCAUAUACCUGUAUAGUGGAUCACUGAAGCCAUAAGUAUUCAGUGUACUUUAAGAAAUCAAGGAUGGUUGCUAGAGGCAAGGAAAGAGAUUUUCACAUGGACGGUUGGGCCCUUAUUUUUUCCACAUCUCUCAAGUU